UGGUUGUCGACAUUAUUUUUUGCCAAAUGAGCUUGGCUGGAGAUGAUCAUGGGACAAUACACUGAUUGUGCUCAAGAGCUUUUGUACAAGGCAGAGGAUGAGCAUGGAGAAGAGCUGUCAGAAGAUGAAGAGGCUAAAGAGGAGGAUGGACCGAUCGAUUAAGAAGCCCAACUUAAGGCAAGCAUGGGACUGCCUGUGGAGUUCAUAAGUUCCUCUGCACAGAAAAGAGCUGUACGUAGUAGCAAGUAAACAUUGCCUAUGUCUGUCCGUCACCAUAGAGUCCACCUAAAAGAAAGAAAAAAGAUCAUGUUGCUCCGAUGCUCUCUCUCUUGAUGGGAGAAAGUUGAUGAGGAAGAAUGCCAUCCACUGGGAAGCAGCUCCUGAGAAUCUGGAUGAAGAAGAUCCACCUUCACUCCAGGUGGAGAAGAAUGAUUCCACUGUUGAAAGCACCAAGGUUGCAUUUGAUUUGAUCUCAGUGAGGGGCUAGGAGGAAAAGCAGAACCUCCACCCUUCCAGCCAAAAUUAGUGCACUAUAUAUGUAUUUUACCUUUAUUUAACCAGGCAAGUCAGUUAAGAACAAAUUCUUAUUUUCAAUGACGGCCUAGGAACAGUGGGUUAACUGCCUGUUCAGGGGCAGAACGACAGCUCGGGGAUUUGAACUUGCAACCUUCCAGUUACUAGCCCAACGCUCUAACCACUAGGCUACCCUGCCGCCCCAGAAUAGGGAAUAGGGUGCCAUUUGAGACACAUCCUGUGAGAACAAAGACAGAAGACAAAAACCCAUAUGUACCACUUUGGAAUUGAUAGCCACUUGUGCAAAGCCCUUUCUCUUCCCCCAGAGCAGUGGAUAGGUCUCGUCACUGAGGACGGCUUCCCUCACGCCUCCAGGUGAGAUGCCCAGGAGGUGGCCACUUUUUAGGGCCUUCACACACGCCUCCUGGGGCCCGUGGAUGACACUGAACACCUCCAACAGCAGCUUGAACCCUACAGAGAACAAUAAAAGGUCCUGUUUUUAGGGUCGAAGUGGCUCAUGUAGUAAGAAUGGACUACGGCAGCUAUAGGCUAUACACUUUACUGAUCAACUACAGAGGGCUGAAUGUAACAUCUCACUUUUAUAUUUAGAUACUGGGAAAUGGAACUGUGAAGAUCUUACCUGGAACUUUGAACAGAAAGUAAUCAGCGACUGAGUGAACAAUCCGUCCCUUUUGAAUGAGGACCUUUGCCAGAAAGUAAUAAUAGUCAAUGGGAAUAGCCCCAUGAUAAUAGACUAUAAGAGCUGCUCCUUCAUCGGGAAUCUUCUCCAUACCAUGGAUUUCAUAUCCUGUUUUGAAAUAGACACAUUUAUCUAAGCAUUGGCAAUAGUCAUUUUUACAUUACAUUUAAGUCAUUUAGCAGACGCUCUUAUCCAGAGCGACUUACAAGUUAAUUUUUACCUUUAUUUAACCAGGUACGUCAGUUAAGAACACAUUCUUAUUUUUCAAUGACGGCCUGGGAACAGUGGGUUAACUGCCUGUUCAGGGGCAGAACGACAGAUUUGUACCUUGUCGGCUCGGGGGUUUGAACUCACAACCUUCCGGUUACUAGUCCAACGCUCUAACCACUAGGCUACCCUGCCUAGUCAUUGACUAGUCAAGCAGCGCCGAUGGAGAGCCGACUCCCUGUCGAGACCCAGGGGAGUCAGAGUUUGGAGGAAGGCUGAAGUGAAGUCAGGCGGGCACUCGUGAAGUGAUCGAUCUGAUUGUGCAGACUUUUGUCAGUGGUAGCUGACCAGUGUGAUUAGGGCCAACAGCAAGCAGACCAUGACAGUGGAAAUGAUGAGAAACCUUGUGAUGGUGGUAAUCGCAAAAGAGCUGCCUCCUCAAACACCAAGCCCACUGAGUCAAGAGACACAGGAUGGGUGUUCCCAGAAAAAUAACAAUGGAUCAAGUGGGAGAAGAGCAUCUAAUAGUGAAGGUGAUGAAAAGCCACAUAGACGAAUUGCAAAAGUAAAGUGGAGAUUGACACAGUCAUGAACUGUAUGUGGAGGAGAACCCUCAGAUGUCUGUAGAGGAAUCCUGGGAUAAACUGUGAUUAAAGUGCAGCCACGACCCCAUGUGUAUUAGGUUUGAGAGUGUGCUGAUGUUUAAGCCCCAGUCACCACCAGGGUGGGAAGGCUAGGAGGAAUAGGAAGCUACAUGGCGUUAGGAGAGCAUCCUGCCACAUCAACAAUCACACCUUCUCUACUGAAGAGGGAGAUGCCACAGAGCCCAAGCUGAGCAAGACCUU